GGUCACAAAAGGUCUUAAAGCAUUGCCAAGGUUAAUGGCAGAAGAGGGAUCGGAACGCGGAGCAGACCACAAGGAUUUCACCACCUCCUCCACACAACCGAGGGAGAAGUUAUCUGAAUGUUCUUUUCUGGGAAUAGAAAAGGAAGAAUUGUUGGGCUGCGGGUUGCUAUUGCAUGUCCAUAGUCUGUUACCAGAUAGAAGGUGUCUGAUCUGAUCACACUGCACGUCACAAUUCAGCUUGGCCUAUCUCCCUGCACUGUGAGGAGUAAAUAAGUACUAUUAAAAACAAACAAACAAACAAACAACGAGUUACCUGCAGAAGUUGC